AGAGUUUGAUCCUGGCUCAGGACGAACGCUGGCGGCAUGCCUAAUACAUGCAAGUCGAGCGGGUUUAUCCUUCGGGAUAAGCUAGCGGCGGACGGGUGAGUAACACGUAGGUAACCUGCCUUUAAGACUGGGAUAACUAUCGGAAACGAUAGCUAAGACCGGAUAACCGGUUUUCUCGCAUGAGAGAAUCGUAAACGAUAGCUAAGACCGGAUAACUGGUUUUCUCGCAUGAGAGAAUCAUAAAACACGGAGCAAUCUGUGGCUUGAAGAUGGGCCUGCGGCGCAUUAGCUAGUUGGUGAGGUAACGGCUCACCAAGGCGACGAUGCGUAGCCGACCUGAGAGGGUGAACGGCCACACUGGGACUGAGACACGGCCCAGACUCCUACGGGAGGCAGCAGUAGGGAAUCUUCCGCAAUGGACGCAAGUCUGACGGAGCAACGCCGCGUGAGUGAUGAAGGUUUUCGGAUCGUAAAGCUCUGUUGCCCUAGACGAACAGCAAGAGGAGUAACUGCCUUUUGUGUGACGGUAUAGGAGAAGAAAGCCCCGGCUAACUACGUGCCAGCAGCCGCGGUAAUACGUAGGGGGCAAGCGUUGUCCGGAAUUAUUGGGCGUAAAGCGCGCGCAGGCGGUCAUUUAAGUCUGGUGUUUAAUCCUGGGGCUCAACCCCAGUUCGCAUCGGAAACUGGAUGACUUGAGUGUAAGAGAGGAAAGUGGAAUUCCACGUGUAGCGGUGAAAUGCGUAGAGAUGUGGAGGAACACCAGUGGCGAAGGCGACUUUCUGGCUUAUAACUGACGCUGAGGCGCGAAAGCGUGGGGAGCAAACAGGAUUAGAUACCCUGGUAGUCCACGCCGUAAACGAUGCAUACUAGGUGUCGGGGAUUCGAUUUCUCGGUGCCGAAGUUAACACAGUAAGUAUGCCGCCUGGGGAGUACGCUCGCAAGAGUGAAACUCAAAGGAAUUGACGG
rnacentral:rRNA from 1 species